rnacentral:rRNA from 1 species
UACGUAGGGGGCAAGCGUUGUCCGGAAUUAUUGGGCGUAAAGAGCGCGUAGGCGGUCCGGUAAGUCGGUUGUGAAAGUCGGGGGCUCAACCCUCGGAUGCCGAUCGAUACUGUCGGGCUAGAGUCCGGAAGAGGUGAGUGGAAUUCCUAGUGUAGAGGUGAAAAUUCGUAGAUAUUAGGGAAAGAACACCAGUGGCGAAGGCGGCUCACUGGUCCGGUACUGACGCUGAGGUGCGAAAGCGUGGGGAGCAAACAGG